CAAAUAAACCUAGACGUCGUCUAACGACAGUGUUGGCUACUCUACUUCCUCUGAGUAAUUUUGCGGCUCUCUGGGCCUGAAAAUCAACCUAUAGCUGUGUUACGGAGGCGCGAGGCCAAUCCGUCGCUUCUAAUCACUGUGUGCGGUAGAUGGACUGAGGCAGUAAACUACAAGCUCAUCGACAUGAUGCAUUUGCAGAGAAGAUCAUGAUAUAAGGACGCAUUCCUACGACCGGCCUGGCCAGUACAGAAAACACCCCUUGAAGAGAGAUCGUCAACUCAUGGGGUAGGUAUUUAAUUGAAAAACAAACAAAAAUAAUAAUUACAUUGCAUUGUUAUGAACUUAAUUUCGUUUUUGGAAAUGAGUGCAAAGGCAGUAUUUUUACAGAGCAUAAUGGCCAAUUCAGCGAGAUUUUGUCAUUCCUAAAGACCAACAUGCCAAGGAAGAUUAGGUCCCAUCAAGACACACUUAACAGCUUACUCAUUAAGCUCGCGCACAGAAAUGCACGUACAUGCUCCAAUAGUGACUGGUUUAAUAAUACAAGGGGCUGGCAUAUAACUGGCAGACCAAUGUCUGCUAUGGAAUCUAUAUUUAUGUUGUAUGAUUAUGUAUUGACGAUUAGUGUUUUUUUAAAUGUAUUGGCACUGUUCAUUGCCUAAACCUAUGUUUGCCACUUGUCUAAAUUAUUGUGGAUAACAGCAUCUGCCAAGUGUAAAUGUGGAUUCUACUUCUUAUUUUCCAAUUUGUUCUUUUUUUAACAGCACAUGAUAAUUUUAUGUUUACACUUAUUUUAUUUUUUCCACAUUCUGUAUCUGACUGGGCUGUUGUAUAAAACCUAUGAUCAAGGAAUAGUUGUCAAAUGUUAUGAGUGUAAUCAAAGUUCAGGUUGCAUACUGCCCUCUCAGAAAUGCUUGACUCCCUCCAAAAGUGAAAAUUGAAGCAUUUUAUGUGGGUAACAAGUCACAACUAGUCUUAGGUCUCUAUUUUAACAUACAGCAUUUUAACCAUUCUUGAGCAGAUCAACUUACACAAAUUCAGGUCAGCAGUUCAUACAUAAUGGCUAGAGCUGGAUUUUUAUAUAUAGCUGGUCGGCUUUCAGUGAAGAUGGAACAUAGGAAUUAAUUGGUAACCUGAUUAAACAUUUCCUCUUUAGUUAUACAACUGCAAAUCCACUGUCAGCAUGUCUCAUGUUUAGGAGAUUUCGAAUGUUGCAGCAUGCUGUCCAAAAUGGUCCUGGUAUUUUUAAAAACAUAUUUAAUGAUAUGUAGAAGUACAUGCUAUGUACACGUAUGUGAACAUUUACCAUGUUAUCACAGUUCUGCACAGAUGUCAAAAUUUUGUUCCCCCCUCCUUCAUUAAAAAAAAUAAUAAAUAUAAAACGGUGACAGGGUGGAAAUUUUGUUUUGAAAAGUUUUCAGUCCUGGAAUUUGAGGGAAAAGUGCUGAAAUUGAAUAAAUUAAAAAUACCCCAAGGAUCCUUAAGGUUCUGUAUAUCAUCAAACAGCUGCCCAUUUCGGAUUCAUGACGGUAGGUAUGUGAAGUCAGCAAAAUAUGUUUAUAACC